GUGAAUCAUCAAAUUUUUGAACGCAAAUUGCACUCUCUGGUAUUCCGGAGAGUAUGCCUGUUUGAGGGUCAGUAAAAAUAAAAAUCGAGGUGUUGCUGUUUUGUGUCCCCUCGGAAUUGGGUUACCUUUGACAUUUUAAAAAGUUUAAGUGACCUAAAACUGAUACCUUGUGCAUCUCAGACGUACCUAAGAAUAUUCUUUUCUCC
rnacentral:misc_RNA from 1 species